CAGCCGCCGCGGUAAUACCGGCGGCCCGAGUGGCGGCCACUAUUAUUGGGCCUAAAGCGUCCGUAGCCGGGCUGGUAAGUCCCCCGGGAAAUCUGGCGGCUUAACCGUCAGAAUUCCGGGGGAUACUGCCAGCCUAGGGACCGGGAGAGGCCGGGGGUAUUCCCGGGGUAGGGGUGAAAUCCUGUAAUUCCGGGAGGACCACCUGUGGCGAAGGCGCCCGGCUGGAACGGGUCCGACGGUGAGGGACGAAGGCCAGGGGAGCGAACCGGAUUAGAUACCCGGGUAGUCUUGGCUGUAAAGGAUGCGGGCUAGGUGUCGGGUGAGCUUCGGGCUCGCCCGGUGCCGUAGGGAAGCCGUUAAGCCCGCCGCCUGGGGAGUACGGCCGCAAGGCUGAAACUUAAAGGAAUUGGCGGG
rnacentral:rRNA from 1 species